AGAGCCUGAAUCAGCAUGUGUGUUAGUGGAAGCGUCUGGAAAGGCGCGCGAUACAGGGUGACAGCCCCGUACACAAAAGCGCAUGUGCUGUGAGCUCGAUGAGUAGGGCGGGACACGUGGUAUCCUGUCUGAAUAUGGGGGGACCAUCCUCCAAGGCUAAAUACUCCUGACUGACCGAUAGUGAACCAGUACCGUGAGGGAAAGGCGAAAAGAACCCCGGCGAGGGGAGUGAAAAAGAACCUGAAACCGUGUACGUACAAGCAGUGGGAGCACCCUUCGGGGUGUGACUGCGUACCUUUUGUAUAAUGGGUCAGCGACUUAUAUUCUGUAGCAAGGUUAACCGUAUAGGGGAGCCGGAGGGAAACCGAGUCUUAACCGGGCGUUAAGUUGCAGGGUAUAGACCCGAAACCCGGUGAUCUAGCCAUGGGCAGGUUGAAGGUUGGGUAACACUAACUGGAGGACCGAACCGACUAAUGUUGAAAAAUUAGCGGAUGACCUGUGGCUGGGGGUGAAAGGCCAAUCAAACCGGGAGAUAGCUGGUUCUCCCCGAAAGCUAUUUAGGUAGCGCCUCGUGAAUUCAUCUCCGGGGGUAGAGCACUGUUUCGGCUAGGGGGCCAUCCCGGCUUACCAACCCGAUGCAAACUGCGAAUACCGGAGAAUGUUAUCACGGGAGACACACGGCGGGUGCUAACGUCCGUCGUGAAGAGGGAAACAACCCAGACCGCCAGCUAAGGUCCCAAAGUCAUGGUUAAGUGGGAAACGAUGUGGGAAGGCCCAGACAGCCAGGAUGUUGGCUUAGAAGCAGCCAUCAUUUAAAGAAAGCGUAAUAGCUCACUGGUCGAGUCGGCCUGCGCGGAAGAUGUAACGGGGCUAAACCAUGCACCGAAGCUGCGGCAGCGAACGUAUCACCCAAGACAACUUUACGGAGUUGACGAUUGACGGAGCGAAGCGACGUCAAAGCGUUCAUUAAAGUCGAGUUGGCUUAGGGAUACGUUCGUUGGGUAGGGGAGCGUUCUGUAAGCCUGUGAAGGUGUGUCGUGAGGCAUGCUGGAGGUAUCAGAAGUGCGAAUGCUGACAUAAGUAACGAUAAAGCGGGUGAAAAGCCCGCUCGCCGGAAGACCAAGGGUUCCUGUCCAACGUUAAUCGGGGCAGGGUGAGUCGACCCCUAAGGCGAGGCCGAAAGGCGUAGUCGAUGGGAAACGGGUUAAUAUUCCCGUACUUGGUGUUACUGCGAAGGGGGGACGGAGAAGGCUAUGUUGGCCGGGCGACGGUUGUCCCGGUUUAAGCGUGUAGGUGUGUGUUCCAGGUAAAUCCGGUUCACUUUAACACUGAGGCGUGACGACGAGGCACUACGGUGCUGAAGCAACAAAUGCCCUGCUUCCAGGAAAAGCCUCUAAGCAUCAGGUAACACGAAAUCGUACCCCAAACCGACACAGGUGGUCAGGUAGAGAAUACCAAGGCGCUUGAGAGAACUCGGGUGAAGGAACUAGGCAAAAUGGUGCCGUAACUUCGGGAGAAGGCACGCUGACACGUAGGUGAAGUGAUUUACUCAUGGAGCUGAAGUCAGUCGAAGAUACCAGCUGGCUGCAACUGUUUAUUAAAAACACAGCACUGUGCAAACACGAAAGUGGACGUAUACGGUGUGACGCCUGCCCGGUGCCGGAA
rnacentral:rRNA from 1 species